CAAUGUGACGCAUGUUAAAUAAGUUAAUUUCGUUGAUGCAAUACAACAUUACGGGGCGUAUAAUAUUUUGGUUUUAUUUUCGAUCUUAUACUCUUCGACAGGUCGAGUUGUACGUCGUCGCGUCUGCGGUUAUUCGGUUUGAUCGGGCUCCACUGAACGUAAGAUGGUAUGCCGGAAGAAAACCUAUGUUAAAAUUAUCGUGCGUCCAAAAUAAACGUAGGUUUUUAAUAUUUUCAUAUCAGUUAUCCAGUACCUAUUCUCUGU